AGAACGAACGCUGGCGGCAUGCCUAAUACAUGCAAGUCGAACGAACUCUUCGGAGUUAGUGGCGCACGGGUGCGUAACGCGUGGGAAUCUGCCCCUUGGUUCGGAAUAACAGUUGGAAACGACUGCUAAUACCGGAUGAUGACGAAAGUCCAAAGAUUUAUCGCCAAGGGAUGAGCCCGCGUAGGAUUAGCUAGUUGGUGAGGUAAAGGCUCACCAAGGCAACGAUCCUUAGCUGGUCUGAGAGGAUGAUCAGCCACACGUGGACUGACGACACGGCCAGACCUCGUACGGGAGGCAGCAGGUAGGGAAUAGUUAGGACAAGUCGGGACGAAAGCCGUAGACUCCGAAGACUAAGUCGCCGG
rnacentral:rRNA from 1 species